UCUCCGUUGGUGAACCAGCGGAGGGAUCAUUACAGGACUCGCAAGACUCCUACAACCCUGUGAACUUAACUAUAAGCACGUUGCUUCGGCGGGUGUCUCUGAGGGGGUUCUCCCUCCCCGAGACGCUAAACCCGCCGGCAGCCUACUAUACUCUGUCUCUUUGCGUUGGCAUCUCGAGUACAAUCAAACAAGUUAAAACUUUCAACAACGGAUCUCUUGGUUCUG
rnacentral:misc_RNA from 1 species